UGCCAGCAGCCGCGGUAAUACGGAGGGUGCAAGCGUUAUCCGGAAUUACUGGGUUUAAAAGGCGCGUAGGCGGGUUAAUAAGUCAGAGGUGAAAGCUCACAGCUUAACUGUGAAACUGCCUUUGAUACUGUUAAUCUUGAAUUAGGACGAGGUGUGUGGAAUGUGACAUGUAGCGGUGAAAUGCAUAGAUAUGUCAUAGAACACCGAUUGCGAAGGCAGCACACUAGACCUAUAUUGACACUCAGAUGCGAAAGCGUGGGGAGCAAACAGGAUUAGAUA
rnacentral:rRNA from 1 species